rnacentral:rRNA from 1 species
UACGGAGGAUCCAAGCGUUAUCCGGAUUUAUUGGGUUUAAAGGGUGCGUAGGCGGAUUGAUAAGUUAGAGGUGAAAUGUCCGAGCUCAACUCGGGAACUGCCUCUAAUACUGUUGAUCUAGAGAGUAGAUGCGGUAGGCGGAAUGUAUGGUGUAGCGGUGAAAUGCUUAGAGAUCAUACAGAACACCGAUUGCGAAGGCAGCAUGCCGGCUCCACACUGACGCUGAGGCACGAAAGCGUGGGUAUCGAACAGG